rnacentral:rRNA from 1 species
UACAGAGGGGGCAAGCGUUGUUCGGAAUUACUGGGCGUAAAGGGCGCGUAGGCGGCCUGCUAAGUCGAACGUGAAAUCCCCGAGCUCAACUCGGGAACUGCGUCCGAUACUGGCAGGCUUGAAUCCGGGAGAGGGAUGCGGAAUUCCAGGUGUAGCGGUGAAAUGCGUAGAUAUCUGGAGGAACACCGGUGGCGAAGGCGGCAUCCUGGACCGGCAUUGACGCUGAGGCGCGAAAGCCAGG